rnacentral:rRNA from 1 species
UACGUAGGGUGCGAGCGUUGUCCGGAAUUACUGGGCGUAAAGGGCUUGUAGGCGGCCAACUAAGUCCGACGUGAAAUCCCCAGGCUUAACCUGGGAACUGCGUCGGAUACUGGAUGGCUUGAAUUCGGGAGAGGGAUGCAGAAUUCCAGGUGUAGCGGUGAAAUGCGUAGAUAUCGUAAGGAAGACCAGUGGCGAAGGCGGAUCUCUGGACAGUUACUGACACUGAGGCACGAAGGCCAGGGGAGCAAACGGGG